UUGCUGCAGGCCACGCAAGGGCCGCUUGGUCCCUCGCUGCCGCCACCGCGUCAAACUCUCGCAAACACGCGCCCGAGCUUCUCGUGUCAGCAAAUGCGUGCGGCGGCGGCGGAAUCUGCUCCCGACGCGCUGGCCUUAUCGCCCGAGGGCCGUAUCCCGGUAUUUGGGAAGGAUUCAAAGGAACAUUUAUUCUUCAACACCGUCACGUCUCUUCCCAAGGGGGUCGCGGCCUUGGACCUGGGCCGGCUCGGGGGGCAGGAGGGCUUUUUUUUUUUCUUUCCGAAGGCUCCCUUUAACCCCUCCGUGGACGGUGAUUCAUAUUGUCAACCCUUCUGGAGUGGACACUGAGUUUGCGUCCAAACUUCCAGUGGCUGUACAAAGUCAUAAAUCAUCGGACGGCGUCCCCGAGGUGACUGUCAGUGUCCACGUAGGAAUAGUGAUUCCUUCUCCCUAAGUGAAAAAGCAAACGGCCAGCCGACGGAAAGGAUAAAUCACUCCUUCAGGCGAAGACAGACCCGGGAGGGAUCGAAACAAACAGGCCGUCGCUCCGGACCGGCCUCGGCUUGUUUAAGACAUUACCAUUUGUGACAACGGCGGCAAAAAUCUCCAAAGUGCCAGGCGGGAAGACACAAGUGGAGCACGUUCUGCCCCAACCUUCCAAAAGCAGCCAUGCUAGCUUCAUGAAGACUCCACCAAAUGGCUGCACCAAAGUCAGCCAGGGCAAGGUAAGCACUCGGAUGGAUUCCCAAAAUGCCUUUUCUUUUCAAUUCUCUCUCGAGUUCAACUUUGUUAAGGCUUCAUGUCUUUUCAAGAAUCAAUUCUAAAAAUGAGGCCAUGACCAGGAAACAUGCAAAAAAAAGGAAGUCAAAGCCCAAACGCUGCUUUUAUGACUAUUGAGCGUCCCUAAACAAAUAUAUUGUUGAACAUUCAAAAAAAAAAAAAAAAAAAAAACCCCGAGUCCCGGUCACAUCCAUUCCAGUUCUGUUAAUGUUAGACAACAAGACCUGUGUCCAAUAACAGGGUCUCCAGCUGUCUUGGAGCACUGGCGUAUCCCCUAACAUCCUUCUUCCCUGUUCUCACACUCUCACUUCCUCACCUGUCAAGAGUUGGAAUGUCACUGGCGGAUGCAGUCCUCCAGAGUCCCGCCGUCAAAACAGAUGUCGCUGCGCUCAGGCCGUCAUAAACGGCAAAGGACGCCUCAACCUGGCUCGGGACGAUAGGUCACGCCGACAAAACAGAAAGUUGCCAUGUUAGCGAGACGUUUUGGACCUUUGGGCUGAUGCCGGACAAGGACAAGGAUCUCUCUCAUUGGGUUGGUUUGCCCGUCAAGUGUUUUAGCAAAUAUAUUCAUCAUCAUAAAAAUGAUAGUUCUCUUGAGAAAGACGGAGGGAAAGGUCUCAGACGUGCGUUUGGCUUUGGCUUUGGCUCUUCUGACAAACGCACAAAAAUAGGCCAUGCAGUCUUUUCAAGUUUCCAACGGGCCGGGCCGGGCCGGGCCGGGCCGGGCCCCGUUUCUGCCGGUCGUCACUCAGUCACCCCCAUUAGCGACCAAAAUCCAUUUCAAUCAGAGCCCAGGUCCCAAGUGGUGGCCAUAUUGGAUGUGGCAAGACCCUCUGGCAUCCGGGCGAGACGAGAAACACCGUUCCUGCCUCGGGUUGGCUCGAUAACAACACUAAAACUUGUUUUUCUGUCCUGUGUCAAAUGAGAAGAUGUUUCUUUUCACAUUGGAGAUACUCGAAGGCCGCGGUUGAGCAAUAUCUCGCUACUACUCCGCAUCGGUUGCGUCAUUGCCCUCUGUUCAAGGAGUCAAAGGUACGCAUGCAUAUCUGUUUUCAAGUAUCAAAUUGAUUUCAAAUAACGACGCUCCCUGACAAAUGUGACUCCAAGUCACUUUUUUGCACUCUUCGAGGAGGAAGAAGCCAAAAUGUCAAAAAUGUAUAAAGCGAGGCUUUUGUGGCCGGGCUGCGGUCCAGCUCUCAGCGGGGAAAGGAAGCGACUCUCCAGGGGCUGCGCUCAAGUCGCCCUGCCCUCUAAGUCCAGUCUCAAUCGGGCCCGCCAGAGGUCACGCUGUCACUUCACAUCCUCUCAUUAGGCUGCCGUGCCCGCCCGCGACAAGAAGCAAAUAGCUGAGUCAUGGGAUUCAAAGCAUAGUUGCACCUUUGCCAUCAGGUACAGUGGAUAGGACCUGCGGGUUCCUUUCGCUCACACGGCGCCACGUGUCUUCUCCGUUUACAGCAUGUGUUGAAGACAUACAGAUUCUCAGCUGCUGAGGCCGAGCUCUUCGAGUACGUCAAGUCGAGCCUUGCGCCCGCUUGUAAAUCGACAGCUGCAAAAAAAAUUCCAAUAUCGAUUAGCCCAAGGGGCGGAAACGAGGGACACGUACAUGGAGCUUUUUAUUGGACGCAGUUUGCAAAUGUUGAGCCUUGUGGGUCGAACGGAAGCCACGCCUUGGGAAAAGUGGCAAAUGUCUUCUACACGUGACACACGACAGGGAAGAAUAUUGCCCACGCCCGCCAAAAAGGAAGUCACUCCAACUGAUUCCAAGAUGGCGUUUCUGCUAGCUAAAAACAAAAAGACCAAAAGCCAAGCUAAACAUUUUAU